CCCCUACGGGAGGCAGCAGUGGGGAAUAUUGGACAAUGGGGGGAGGCGUGAAAAAGCAAUGCCCAGACGUGAAGAAGGCGUUAGAGACAAAAGCGGUUUCAGCGGGGAGGAAGGUAAGACAAGAAAGAGCAGAACAAAGAAGUACGUGAGAGAGC
rnacentral:rRNA from 1 species